UACGUAGGGUGCAAGCGUUGUCCGGAAUUAUUGGGCGUAAAGAGCUCGUAGGCGGUCUGUCACGUCGGCUGUGAAAACCUGGGGCUCAACCCCGGGCCUGCAGCCGAUACGGGCAGACUAGAAUUCGGUAGGGGAGACUGGAAUUCCUGGUGUAGCGGUGAAAUGCGCAGAUAUCAGGAGGAACACCGGUGGCGAAGGCGGGUCUCUGGGCCGAUAUUGACGCUGAGGAGCGAACGCGUGGGGAGCGAACAGG
rnacentral:rRNA from 1 species